UACGUAGGGUGCAAGCGUUGUCCGGAAUUAUUGGGCGUAAAGAGCUCGUAGGCGGUCUGUUGCGUCGGCUGUGAAAACCCGAGGCUCAACCUCGGGCCUGCAGCCGAUACGGGCAGACUAGAGUUCGGCAGGGGAGACUGGAAUUCCUGGUGUAGCGGUGAAAUGCGCAGAUAUCAGGAAGAACACCCGUGGCUAAGGCGGCUCUCUAGUACGGUACUGACGCUGAGACGCGAAAGCGUGGGGAGCGAACAGG
rnacentral:rRNA from 1 species